rnacentral:pre_miRNA from 1 species
GGUACUUGGAGGGAGGUUGCCUCAUAGUGAGCUUGCAUUAUUUAAUGAUGCCCAAUACAGGAUAGACCUGUUUUCUGUAUC